UUGAAAACGUUAACGGAAGCAUUUAACAUUAAAGAAAAACUGUUUGAAAUAUAAGAAACUCCCAAAGUGAUAUAAUCCAGCCCAAAACCAGGGUGUCACUGAGUACAUGAGUGUCUAGAUCAGAAAUACAGUCUACUACAGUGUCUAGAGAUAUAAACUGAAAGUACGACAAAGAUAAAGGAGAGUCAAGGCCCGGAAACGCAGUGGAACUAUCUUGAUAGUCUCCAAAACUCUAGGAUCCUCAAUCAGCAACCGCCGCUACGACCGGUAUCGCCUGGAUCUGCACACGAGGUGCAGGGAGUAGCGUGAGUAUACCAACUCAGUAAGUAACAAGUCCAAACUUUGGACUGAAAGGUAGUGACGAACUCAACCUCAACAGGUAUAACAGAAAUAAAUGUGCAGAAACGUAGGCAUGCUUUCAAGUCAAAUAUACAUCUCAAAACAGUAAAGGAAAUACAGAUCUAAACAGUGUAAGGUAUACAACUCAGUUAUCUCUACAUGCCAAUGCACAGACUGUAUAAAAUACACCAUGUGCUCCACUCUCGAGUAUUCAAUCACUCGGUACUGUAUAUAAUCCAUCCCGGAACAUAUACAACACUGACUAUAAAUCACCAGUACCGAGGUAAAAGGGCAAUCCAACCCUGUGGAGAAAUCCAUCUCCAGGUAUCAAGUACUUCGGACAAAUCCAUGUCCAGGGAAAUCCAUCCCUCAAUAAUAUCAUCCGCGCUCACUUGGGGUGUGUUACAGACUCCGGAGGGGAUCCUACAGCCCAAGCGCUAUCAUAAUCAUCAAUAUAACUACUGCGGCGUGUAGCCCGAUCCCAUAAAUGUCACUCAUAACCAGGCACUCGGCCUCACUCAGUCAUCAACCUCUCCAGUCUCACCACGGGCUCAUAAUGUCAUGAAAAUAACUCGGAACAAUGAUAUGAUGAAUCAAUAAAUAAUUGAGUCCGAGAUAUGAUAUAAAAAUGCAUGAUCAUAACUGAGUAUGGAAUAGUAAAUGAAACUAGUGAGAUGACAGCAAGAACGGCCGCUAAGGGUCCAACCAAUCCCGGCACAAAGCCUAAAAAUGAUAUCUAGCACGAUCUACAACUCAAUUACUUUAUCACCUGAUGAAAACAUGGAUAUCAACAGGAUAGAGUCACUAAACGGUGCCAUGGAAUCACCCAGGUCACAAUUUUCACGGUGCACGCCCGCACGCCCGUCACUUGGCAUGUGCGUCACCUCAAUACCAAUCACAUAGCAUAUAACUUGGGGUCUUGAACCCUCAGAAUCAAGUUUGAAAAUGUUACUUACCUCAAACCAAGCAAAGU
rnacentral:lncRNA from 1 species